AAUUCCAGCUCCAAUAGUGUAUAUUAGAGUUGUUGCAGUUAAAAAGCUCGUAGUUGGAUUUCUGUCGUGGUCAUCCGGCGCCGCCCGUAUGGGUGUGCACCUGGUAUGCCCGCGGCUUUUUUCCGGUUAUCCUUCCGCGCUUAAUUGCGUGUUUGUUGGUGUUCCGGAACUUUUACUUUGAGAAAAAUAGAGUGUUUCAAGCAGGCUUGUCGCCCUGAAUACUUCAGCAUGGAAUAAUAAGAUAGGACCUUGGUUCUAUUUUGUUGGUUUCUAGGACCUAGGUAAUGAUUAAUAGGGACAGUUGGGGGCAUUCGUAUUUAACUGUCAGAGGUGAAAUUCUUAGAUUUGUUAAAGACGAACUACUGCGAAAGCAUUUGCCAAGGAUGUUUUCAUUAAUCAAGAACGACAGUAGGGGGUUUGAAGACGAUUAGAUACCGUCGUAAUCUCUACCAUAAACUAUGCCGACUAGAGAUAGGGAAAUGCCUACCUUGGCUUCUCCUG
rnacentral:rRNA from 1 species